rnacentral:rRNA from 1 species
UACGUAGGUGGCAAGCGUUGUCCGGAAUUAUUGGGCGUAAAGCGCGCGCAGGCGGUUCUUUAAGUCUGAUGUGAAAUCUUGCGGCUCAACCGCAAGCGGUCAUUGGAAACUGGGGAACUUGAGUGCAGAAGAGGAAAGUGGAAUUCCACGUGUAGCGGUGAAAUGCGUAGAGAUGUGGAGGAACACCAGUGGCGAAGGCGACUUUCUGGUCUGUAACUGACGCUGAGGCGCGAAAGCGUGGGGAGCAAACAGG